UUGAUUCAUUGCGGGUUUUCUAUAUUUAUUCUUGGCUCGCGCAUUUGGUCGGAAAAAAUUCUGUUGACGAUUGUUUUCGACAAGAAUAAGCGGAAAGUUACGGUCACUGAUUUAAAGGGAUUAAAAGUGAAGUGUGAACAGAAGUUAAAGAAUGGCAAAUAAAAAACACGGUCAUACACUGGAAGAAAAUCAGUGUUGUGGUAGCCAAUGAAAAUUCUUGAAACUGCGAGAAGCAUCCUUAAUUAUCAAAUAGUUGGAUUAGCGUAACAAGUAAUUAAUUUUGCUUGCCAAAAUACAUUCACAGCUUGAGAGAAGUGGCGGCUAAGUAUAACUUGAAUAAUCGUCAGCAGAGACAAAAGAAAACUAAAAACGAAAUGAACUGAAUAAUUUGAUCCGACUUCGACAUAUCCAAUGGGGUUUCGUCAUACGUGGUAACCGAGUUUAUAUUAGACCCUUGUCUCACCAACAAGUGUACCAUAUCAAGACAUCCUUCUUCGCAGCUCAAGUGUAUUGGUUUUUCUCCGAGGUUAUUAGCUGCAUUUAUAUCAGCUCCUUUGGCGAUCAAGAAGCCAAAAAUGGAAUUAUUUCUACUACGACACGCCGAGUGAAUGGACAAAGUGCGCUAUGGUUCCAGAUUUUAUCCUUACAGAAGAUGAAGUUUUAGUAGAUGUAAUAAUUAUCCCAGAACAGCAGAUUUUAUGCCAAGCCGAACAGGUUGUUACCCAACAACCCAGAAAAAAUGAUAAAUUAAGUGAAGGCAACUGUUGUAUUUACUACACCUGUGACAGUAGGGACUACAUAUUGAAUCUUUGUUGUAAUUUCCACAGUGGAUGUUGUAACUGCGAUUGUGGAAAGUGUGGUGACUGCGACUGCGACUGCGACUGUGGAAAGUGUGGUGAUUGCGACUGCGACUGUGAUUGUGACUGUGAUUGCGACUGUGAAUAAUUGUAAAGGUUUUUUAAUUCGGUAAUAAACCAACACAGAGUUUCAAAAAAGUUCAUUUUCAUUUAAAAUUCUUGCCUACGUGUAACUAUUGCAAAGUAAACUGAAGUUUUGGCGGACUUUUAGUAAAAAAGUUUGAUGACAAUUCACACAAGCAUUUUUUAAUUGUGCACAGGGUGUUUUUGAGAGGUAUGUAAAAAAAGAAACGGGAAAUUCGACAUGAGAAGCACAGAUCAUAAACUCAAAAUCACCUUAAUAAAAAAUGUUCUUUCGUUUUUGAAGUAAAAUUCGCUAAAAAACUACUUAUCACAAUUUUGUGUGUGCUACUGAUUUAUGGCAAUUCGUUGGUUGUUAAAAAAAAAUUGCGGCGGGCUAAUUUUACUUUCAAGGUAAAAAAUGUGAAUCGUAGUUCAACAGAAAGUUUCAGGUGAACAAUUUUUGAUGUUCUUUUUCCAAAGUUCUUUCAAAAAGGAUUUAUAAAAAGAAAGCAAGGUUGUAGUAAAAAUGCUAAAAUGAUGAACAUGCUCCGUCGGACCGAGCCCGUAUUUCUGUUUUCUAAAUUAGGCAACCCACAAUGCAAACACUAUGGAGAGAGUUAGACAGCUGUCAAUCACUAGGCAGGUAAGCUGAUCGACCGUUUGGGACCUUCAUAAAAGUUUAUUUAUUAGAAGAAAAGAUUAAAGAGAUACAAGUCUCACGACUACAGACGAGAUUUUAAGAAAAAUGCGUCAAAUCCUGUCUCUGCUCAUAGUACGUACCAUGUUUUUCAGAAAAAGGCGGGAAGAGCAAGUAUUAAUUAUUAAUGACUAUACAGGGUCGCUAGAACCGGUUAAAUAUCUUGAGAACCAAUUGUACAAAUCAACUGAAAUUAGGUAUAAGGGUUACACUACCAUAAAAUUCAAGCAUUUCUGAAUAGUUUUUUUUUCUGAACUAGCUCUUACCACGUGUGUACAUUCACAAAACCAUAAUCAGACUGACGCUCCGCCAUGCCGUCCUCUGUCUAACCACCAACCCUCUAACUAAAAUCCCUAGCGCUACUAAUUGUCCAACUAUCCAGCAAGCGUUACCGUGCACCUGGUUGCCUAUGUUUAACGAUUUUUUUUUAAUGAAAUUUUUGUUUCUUUCUCAAAUUCAAAUUAUUCAAAUGUGAUUUUGCGCUGCUAUUAAUUUCAGCGCGAAAAUUUUGAUUUAAAUUCGGUCAUGACAAGAUCAAAAAUAUUUAUUUACGAAAGUAAAUUUAACUUAGCUUAAGUUAAGGAAAUGAUUCCACUUUAUAAGUUGUCCUACAGGUCGUUUUCGGAGUGAGUGGCGCAUGCCGGUGUCAGGAAUUGGUCGAAUUAAGAAUAGACAAUAUUGAAAAUGUUAAAUCCGGUUUACUCGUAACGAUUCCUCAUUACCGUUAUGGGGAAAAAUAUUUUAAUAUUUACUAGAAAUAUAUAGCUCUUGGACAAAAACAUUUUUAUGAACUUCGAUUUUUCGUUAAAUACUUAAAUGGAAAGUGUCAGCGACAAGUAGUUGGGACUCACAAAAUUAGCGAUGCUCUACGAGAAGUAGCUAAAUUUUUAAAACUGGAAAAUCCCAAUGAAUAUAACGGAGAUUGUUUACGUCGCACGUCUGUCAGUCUCCUUGUAGAUGCUGGAUGUUAUAUAUCUCUCAAGAGACACGGAGGGUGGAAAUCGAAUAGUGUAGCGUGUACAUAGACGAAUCAGUGAAACACAAGGAACAUUGGACGCGAACAUUUUUUUGGUUAGAUGAAGCGAGUACAAGUGGAGUGAUUCCUCAAAAACCACCGAAGAGAGUAACGAAGUAAAUAUUACCAAAGACGUAACUGACAAUGAAAUAGCAGCAACAUUGACAAACAUUGUUAACACUGCUAUUACAAGGGAUAAUAUUGACGGCAAAUCGUUAAUCCAAUUUUCUGAAAGUUGUUCUAAUUUUACAUUUAAUAUCAAUUUUAAAAUUUAGAAAUUAUGUAAUCUGUUUAAUUAUUAACAAAGACAACGUUAUUAAUAUUUUCAAAAUCGACGAAAAAAUAUAGUUUGAGAUUAAUUAUCAUUUGUUUUAAAUCCUAGGACUAAAAGUAAAUGUUGCCUUAGUAACGCAAGUGUUUUUUCUUAAUUACAAAAACGUCUACUUUUAGUGUUGAAAUUGUCAUUCAAAGUGUUAUGCUUUACGACGGCUGGAGAAAAACACAUUUUUCCCAUUAUUUAAAAAAAGAUAGAUUUUUUUAAAUCGGACACUUAAUUUGAGAGACAAAAUGCGGAGGGGGCAAUUUUUUUUUUUUAGAGAGAUAUAUACAAUGAAAACAGUUUUAUAUGGGUGUCUGAGAUGGCUGAUUUAUUAAUUUUUAUUUUUGCAUACCUUUUAAAAACGCCUCGUAUUGAAAUUAUUUGCUCUGAUUUGUUUAUGUUUUUCUAAACAUUAUUGUUACAUUUUUUUUGUAAAAAUUUGUAUAUUAUUGUUUAGAC